UCCGAUUGCACUGGGUAUGUUACCAUCGAUGGAGCGGGACAGAGGUCUGGUUGACUUACCAUGCACAACAAUCUGUUCAGAAGCCACCUCAUAAUGAAAAAUGACUGGAAAAAGUACAUCUAGAAUUCAUCUUACUAUUGUACUAGCAGCACCAGUAAGUGCUGGCAGAACUGUCAAUGGAAG